GGCGGGCUCAAGUGAGGAGCUGGUAACUCCCCCUGGGACCCCAGAGGGGGCAGCAGUGGUUCCCAGAAGAAGAAGCCCGCACAGGGCUGGGUGGACAGAUCUGGCUGCCACCCCAGGGCUUUGAGCAGGAAGCUCCGCCCUGACGCACUGUGGCCUGGGCCAGUGGGGGGCGGGGAGUGUGCCCGGACCUCAGGACGCUGUGUGCUCUUGUGCACACCAAGGAAGAGGAGGGCCACGGAGCUGCACCCGCAGGGGAGAGGGAGGAUCCGAGAGGUCCACCUGGCUCUGCUUUCUCACCACUCCCCGGGCAUCCCCCCUCCCUUCCUGGCACUUGCUGCCCCAGGAAAAGUGCGAUGGCGGAAGGCUGAGGCCUGCCAACGGGAGUAGGCAGAGGUUCCCCACCCGGCAGAGCUCCUGGGGACCCACGGAGGAGGGGGGACACGCACCUGACCUCAGAGGCAGGCCCAGGGCAGGUGCCGGAGGGGAGAGGCCCAGGGAGCCCAGGGUCAGCACUGCCACUGGCCUAUAGGAUGGCUUCCCCAGACCACGCUGGGCACGGGGCUUGGCAGGUGGCCAGGCUGGGUGCCAAGCUGCACUUACCACCUCUAUGCUCUCUUGCCCUGCUCCCUGGUGGCCCACGUAAAUGGUGGCCGGGGCUCCCAGGUAAAUGGGGGCUACCAGGCCCCAGAGGGGUGAGGAUCAUCAGGCGUUGCCCCUUCUGGUUUGUGAAGAUGGACGUCCCUGAAGACCUGACCGAGGACCAGCCCACCUGGUGCCUCACCCCGAAAUCCUGACUCAAGAGCUGAAGUUGUGUUUCCCGCCAGACUGGCAGAGUGGGGCUUAGGGACUGAAAUACCCGGCAGAAAACAGAAACCCUCCUUACACGACUACGGGCAUGGAGCGGGAUUCACGUCCAGCACGCUCACGUGACCUCCUGUUACUCCCACCUUCACCCCGGAGGUUGGAAGCCCUGUUCCUAUCGCACAGAUGAGAAAGGUGAGACAGACUCAGAGGGGUCGAGGAACCUGCCCUGAGUCACACAGCCUCAGUCCCGGUGCCAGCCAGCACCCCGUCUCUAACUCCGUCUCUCUCCUGCUUGGCCCUCUCCUCUCUGCUCAUCCCUACUUUCACUCAUUCCACAAUUUUUUCGAGCACCAUUUAUAGCCCUCACACCCUGCUAGAUCCUAAGGCAUAUGGUGGGGGAACUGGCCAGAUGGAUCGCGAUAGAUCUGCCGCGGAAGAGCAGAAACGUGCCCUGCUUCCUAGCUGUGUUGCCCUGAGCAAUUGAUCUAGCGCUUGGCCUCUCUGUGGCUCGGUCUCCUCAUCUGUAAAACGGGGAUAAUAAUGGUGCACACCCAAUGGAGAGUUCUUGAUGGGACCCAGCCAGCUGUGCUCCUGGAAGGAAGUGGGCAUGCGUGGCCACCUUGAGGCGGAGCCUGCAUUCUCACGGGAGACUCAUCUCUCCCAUUCACUUACUUAUCCAGCAGAAUGGAUUCAUGGUGUACAGUCUUGUAAUCCAACACCGCACCUAUUUGUGGCUCAGACUGUUCCAUCUUUGGCUACUGGAGGUUCCUUCAGUUGUUUUUUUGCCUUUUAAUAGUGUGUGUGUGUGUGUGUGUUUAAGCGCUUCCUUAGUUUCUGGACCCACGAGAUAUUCCAGGCUCAUUUUGGGUCUUUCUUGCCAAACUCCGAGAAUCAGCCAUUCUCCCAGCAAUCUCGGCUCCUUUAAUUGCAGAAUUGGAGAACGAUAUUAGGAGCCAACACUCCAUGGGUAUAGACUGUACUACGUAUUCAUGGGCUCAUGGAUAUUUAGGUUGUUUCCACUAUGGGCUAUGAAUGCAUGGAUUCCGCUUGACGUGACUGCAGCCAUCUUGAGUGGCAACCACCAUGAAUGAUGCCUCAGAGUCACCCCAGUCGGGUUUCCUGCAUAGAUUCCCAGCAAACUAUGAAGAGACCGAACCGUCACGGUAGUAUGUGGAGCCUUACGACUGGGCCCGGGCUCCUGGGAUAUGCCUGGUUCUUCGAUACUGUUUAAGGUGAAGCAGUUAUGUUCAGUCAGGAUGAAGUCACCGUUGUCCUAACUCUACUUUACAUCCCUCUUUCUAACCCAGAUUGCAGGAUCCAACUGGUUUUGCUGCCUCCCAGGACCACCCUUCCGUAAGUCCCCAGUAAGUAGCACUCUGCAAUCCUGGAUCUGUCUGCUUCUCUUUCUUUCAUCUCAUGGCACCUUGGGGCUGGGUUGCUCCUGAGCAGCUGCUAUGGACAGUGCUUCUGUGAACAAGGGUGUUGACAUGUGUCAUCAUUUCUCUUGGACACACACCUAGGAAUGCUCAAACGCUCUGUGGCCACCUUUCCCAGGAACCACCAAACUGUUUUCCAAACUGGCCGGGUGAAAAAGCUGGGCACGGUGGCCUGGAGGCUGAGACAGGAGGAUCCCAACUUCAAAGACAGCCUCAGCUACUUAGGGAGACUCUGUCUCAAAAUGAAAAAUAAAGAAUGACCGGGGAUGAAGCUUAGUGUCAAAGUGCCUCUGGGUUCAAUCCUCAAUACUGACAAAAAAAAAAAAAAAAAAAAGAGCCUGGUGUGGUGGUGGUACACGCCUAUAAUCCCAGCAGCUCAGGAGGCCGAGGCAGGAGGAUCCUGAGUUCAAAGCCAGCCUCAGCAAAAGCAAGGAGCUAAGCAGCUCAGGGAGACCCUGUCUCUAAAUAAAAUACAAAACAGGGCUGGGGAUGUGGCUCAGUGAUGAGUGCCCCUGAGU
rnacentral:lncRNA from 1 species